GCACCCUUAGCUCAGUUGGAUAGAGCGCUGGCCUCCGAAGCCAGAGGUCGCCGGUUCAAAUCCGGUGGGGUGCG
rnacentral:tRNA from 1 species